rnacentral:rRNA from 1 species
UGAACGCUGGCGGCGUGGAUAAGGCAUGCAAGUCGAACGCGAAAGUCCCGGCUUGCCGGGACGAGUAGAGUGGCGAACGGGUGAGUAACACGUGAACAAUCUACCCUCUGGAUGGGGACAACCUCGGGAAACCGGGGCUAAUACCGAAUAAGUCCAGUAGAUCAUAAGAUUUUUUGGAGAAAGCGGGCCUCUACUUGUAAGCUCGCACCAGAGGAGGAGUUCGCGGACCAUUAGUUUGUUGGUGGGGUAACGGCCUACCAAGACUUCGAUGGUUAGCUGGUUUGAGAGGAUGGUCAGCCACACUGGGAUUGAGAUACGGCCCAGACUCCUACGGGAGGCAGCAGUCUAGAAGCUUCGGCAAUGGGGGCAACCCUGACCGAGCGACGCCGCGUGCGGGAUGAAGGCUUUCGAGUCGUAAACCGCUUUCAGUGGGGAAGAAAGGUGUUCGGGCCAAUACCCCGGGCAUUUGACGGUACCCGCAGAAGAAGCCUCGGCUAAUUCC